rfam:Loxodonta africana unplaced genomic scaffold scaffold_311, whole genome shotgun sequence.
UGGGGUAUAGCUCAGUGGAAGAGUGCACGCUUAGCAAGCACGAGGCUCUGGGUUCCAUCCCCAGUCUCUCCA